UGUAUUUUUAGUAGAGACCCUCUACAGUAGAGCACACCCUCGGAAAAGCCACGCUGCACUCACUAUCUCAGGACCAGCUUGGGUGUCCCUGAAGGGCAGAACAAAACCUUUCCAAAGGCAAAGCCUCACUAUCAAACAGAGAAGAGGCCAGUGAAUGACAAGAGCUGAUUGAAGAGUUUCGGUGGAAAACACCUCACUGGUUUAGACCAAGUCCCUUCAGGGGACUGGACUGGGAGUAAGCAGAGGCCAUGCUUCCUGCCUGGCUUGGCAGGAGUGAGGGGCUGCUGGACGCCCACGGGGUUGCUGGCUCUGGAGAGGGAACUGGUAGUGCUGGAGGGUGAUCCAGGGGGAGCAGUCCCCACCUCCACCAUUGCUCAACCACCCGCCUGCUUUCUGCUCAGCUUUCCCCAGAGGCCUGCUGGGGGCUUGCUGCGCAGCCGCAAACAAAAAGGCCUCUUUGUAGAUCCUCCCCUAGGACGCUCCGGAGGAAACAGCUCCCCUCGAAGCGGUAUUCAGCAUUCACGGCUGUCACCCAGGAGUCCCUGCUGGGUGCUGGGCCCAGUGCCGGGAGCUACAAAGAUUCUUGAUUAAUUCACCAUUUCCCAGCCAUUGGAAUAAGAAGUGCCUCUGUAGCAUUUGCUGGUGCUCACUCAGACAUCUGCCUUUAUUUUUGUGGACAAAGAAAAAUUUACAGGCUGGGAGAGAAGCUAAACAAAUAUGGUGGCCAGAGUUGAAUUGUGCUAUCUUUGCCUGUUGGUGGCCAGUGCCUUGGGGUUAAUCCUUUCCUCUUGAGGUCCAUGUCCGCUUGGGGAGAUUGAUCCACAACUUCAUUCACAUUGACUGGGGUGGGAAAAUGACCCAGGCCAGUCACACACACAGCAGUCUGCUUGGGAUAAGAGUCAGACUCAGGACUUUGCUGGAGUUCCCGGGAAUGAUGCCCUCUUUUUUGGCUGGGGAUGCUAAGCUGCAAGAUGUGCUCCUGGAGCUGGUGACAUCUGUGCCAUCAUCAGAGCAGACGCCUGCCUGGCAAGGAACCCAGAGGAAAGUGGAACCCAGGCUUAGAGAUGAGCCUUCCUGACAUUGUUUGAGCAUCUGGGAUCCAGCUACGUUCAGAUGGCUGGGCUUUUCCAUGUACUGAGCCAAUGAAUUUCCUUUCUCUCUUUUUAAAGCCACAUUGAGUUGGAUUUCCAUUUCUGUCACUUGCAACCCUAGCAGUUUUGUUGGAACAGUGGCCCUCACUGCUGUUUGAUUAUGGUGUGUCCUUCUUGGCCCUCCCAUCAUCCUGCGUGUGAAACCACACACUGCCAAGUAUUGCUCAAUAUUCCUGAUUGUGUUGGGUGGGCAUCCUUGCUCUGCCCUCUCUAGCUGACAGCAAGUUAGAACCAAGGCAAAUUCCUUAAUUGCUCAGAGCUGUAGUUUCCUUGAUUGUAAAAUUGCGGGUUUGGGUGGGGGUGGGGAAGACACCCUCUAUCAAGGGGCUGUUGGGAGAAUGAAACGAAGUAAUGUAUGCGUGGCAUUAACACAGUUUCAUAUUAAACAUUUGCAUUUGAGUCAUUUUUAUCACUGUUACUAUAAAUAAAAGGCAGGUUAUCACAGGCAGCAAUCCUACCUUUCUUCUCUUUGUAUCUUCCACAAUGCCUGGCUUAUAGCUGGAGGU
rnacentral:lncRNA from 1 species